CCUACGGGAGGCAGCAGUGGGGAAUAUUGGGCAAUGGGCGCAACCUGACCCAGCAACGCCGCGUGAAUGGAGAAGGCUUUCGGGUUGUAAACUUCUUUUCUGAGGGACGAAGCUAGUGACUGUACCUAAGGAAUAAGCCACGGCUAACUGCGUGACAGCAGCCGCGGUAAUACGUAGGGGGCAAGCGUUAUCCGGAUUUAUUGGGUGUAAAGGGCGUGUAGGCGGGAAAGCAAGUCAGAUGUGAAGAGUAAGGGCUCAACCCUGAGACUGCACUUGAUACUGUUUAUCUUGAGUGCUGGAGAGGCAAACGGAAUUCCGGGUGUAGCGGUGAAAUGCUUAGAUAUACGGAGGAACACCAGUGGCGAAGGCGGAUUGCUGGACAGUAACUGACGCUGAGGCGCGAAAGCGAGGGGAGCAAACGGGAUUAGAUACCCGUGUAGUC
rnacentral:rRNA from 1 species